GUCAGCGACUUAUAUUCUGUAGCAAGGUUAACCGUAUAGGGGAGCCGGAGGGAAACCGAGUCUUAAUUGGGCGUUAAGUUGCAGGGUAUAGACCCGAAACCCGGUGAUCUAGCCAUGGGCAGGUUGAAGGUUGGGUAACACUAACUGGAGGACCGAACCGACUAAUGUUGAAAAAUUAGCGGAUGACCUGUGGCUGGGGGUGAAAGGCCAAUCAAACCGGGAGAUAGCUGGUUCUCCCCGAAAGCUAUUUAGGUAGCGCCUCGUGAAUUCAUCUCCGGGGGUAGAGCACUGUUUCGGCUAGGGGGCCAUCCCGGCUUACCAACCCGAUGCAAACUGCGAAUACCGGAGAAUGUUAUCACGGGAGACACACGGCGGGUGCUAACGUCCGUCGUGAAGAGGGAAACAACCCAGACCGCCAGCUAAGGUCCCAAAGUCAUGGUUAAGUGGGAAACGAUGUGGGAAGGCCCAGACAGCCAGGAUGUUGGCUUAGAAGCAGCCAUCAUUUAAAGAAAGCGUAAUAGCUCACUGGUCGAGUCGGCCUGCGCGGAAGAUGUAACGGGGCUAAACCAUGCACCGAAGCUGCGGCAGCGANNUGCUGGAGGUAUCAGAAGUGCGAAUGCUGACAUAAGUAACGAUAAAGCGGGUGAAAAGCCCGCUCGCCGGAAGACCAAGGGUUCCUGUCCAACGUUAAUCGGGGCAGGGUGAGUCGACCCCUAAGGCGAGGCCGAAAGGCGUAGUCGAUGGGAAACGGGUUAAUAUUCCCGUACUUGGUGUUACUGCGAAGGGGGGACGGAGAAGGCUAUGUUGGCCGGGCGACGGUUGUCCCGGUUUAAGCGUGUAGGUGUGUGUUCCAGGUAAAUCCGGUUCACUUUAACACUGAGGCGUGACGACGAGGCACUACGGUGCUGAAGCAACAAAUGCCCUGCUUCCAGGAAAAGCCUCUAAGCAUCAGGUAACAUCAAAUCGUACCCCAAACCGACACAGGUGGUCAGGUAGAGAAUACCAAGGCGCUUGAGAGAACUCGGGUGAAGGAACUAGGCAAAAUGGUGCCGUAACUUCGGGAGAAGGCACGCUGACACGUAGGUGAAGUGAUUUACUCAUGGAGCUGAAGUCAGUCGAAGAUACCAGCUGGCUGCAACUGUUUAUUAAAAACACAGCACUGUGCAAACACGAAAGUGGACGUAUACGGUGUGACGCCUGCCCGGUGCCGGAAGGUUAAUUGAUGGGGUCAGCGCAAGCGAAGCUCCUGAUCGAAGCCCCGGUAAACGGCGGCCGUAACUAUAACGGUCCUAAGGUAGCGAAAUUCCUUGUCGGGUAAGUUCCGACCUGCACGAAUGGCGUAAUGAUGGCCAGGCUGUCUCCACCCGAGACUCAGUGAAAUUGAACUCGCUGUGAAGAUGCAGUGUACCCGCGGCAAGACGGAAAGACCCCGUGAACCUUUACUAUAGCUUGACACUGAACAUUGAGCCUUGAUGUGUAGGAUAGGUGGGAGGCUUUGAAGUGUGGACGCCAGUCUGCAUGGAGCCGACCUUGAAAUACCACCCUUUAAUGUUUGAUGUUCUAACGUGGACCCGUAAUCCGGGUUGCGGACAGUGUCUGGUGGGUAGUUUGACUGGGGCGGUCUCCUCCUAAAGAGUAACGGAGGAGCACGAAGGUUGGCUAAUCCUGGUCGGACAUCAGGAGGUUAGUGCAAUGGCAUAAGCCAGCUUGACUGCGAGCGUGACGGCGCGAGCAGGUGCGAAAGCAGGUCAUAGUGAUCCGGUGGUUCUGAAUGGAAGGGCCAUCGCUCAACGGAUAAAAGGUACUCCGGGGAUAACAGGCUGAUACCGCCCAAGAGUUCAUAUCGACGGCGGUGUUUGGCACCUCGAUGUCGGCUCAUCACAUCCUGGGGCUGAAGUAGGUCCCAAGGGUAUGGCUGUUCGCCAUUUAAAGUGGUACGCGAGCUGGGUUUAGAACGUCGUGAGACAGUUCGGUCCCUAUCUGCCGUGGGCGCUGGAGAACUGAGGGGGGCUGCUCCUAGUACGAGAGGACCGGAGUGGACGCAUCACUGGUGUUCGGGUUGUCAUGCCAAUGGCACUGCCCGGUAGCUAAAUGCGGAAGAGAUAAGUGCUGAAAGCAUCUAAGCACGAAACUUGCCCCGAGAUGAGUUCUCCCUGAGACUUAGAGUCUCCUGAAGGAACGUUGAAGACGACGACGUUGAUAGGCCGGGUGUGUAAGCGCAGCGAUGCGUUGAGCUAACCGGUACUAAUGAACCGUGAGGCUUAACCUUACAACGCCGAAG
rnacentral:rRNA from 1 species